UGGGGAAUAUUGGACAAUGGGGGCAACCCUGAUCCAGCCAUGCCGCGUGUGUGAAGAAGGCCUUUUGGUUGUAAAGCACUUUAAGCAGGGAGGAGAGGCUAAUGGUUAAUACCCAUUAGAUUAGACGUUACCUGCAGAAUAAGCACCGGCUAACUCUGUGCCAGCAGCCGCGGUAAUACAGAGGGUGCGAGCGUUAAUCGGAAUUACUGGGCGUAAAGCGAGUGUAGGUGGCUCAUUAAGUCACAUGUGAAAUCCCCGGGCUUAACCUGGGAACUGCAUGUGAUACUGGUGGUGCUAGAAUAUGUGAGAGGGAAGUAGAAUUCCCAGGUGUAGCGGUGAAAUGCGUAGAGAUCUGGAGGAAUACCGAUGGCGAAGGCAGCUUCCUGGCAUAAUAUUGACACUGAGAUUCGAAAGCGUGGGUAGCAAACAGGAUUAGAUACCCUGGUAGUCCACGCCGUAAACGUGUCUACUAGCCGUUGGGGUCCUUGAGACUUUAGUGGCGCAGUUAACGCGAUAAGUAGA
rnacentral:rRNA from 1 species